rnacentral:SRP_RNA from 1 species
GCCAGGCAUGGUGGCGCAUGCCUGUAAUCCCAGCUACUCAGGAGGCUGAGGCAGGAGAAUUGCUUGAACCCGGGAGGCAGAGGCUGCAGUGAGCCAAGAUUGUGCCACUGCACUCCAGCCUGGGUGAAAGAGCAAGACUCCAUCUCAA